rnacentral:rRNA from 1 species
GACGAACGCUGGCGGCGUGCUUAACACAUGCAAGUCGAACGGAAAGGCCCUGCUUGCAGGGUACUCGAGUGGCGAACGGGUGAGUAACACGUGGGUGAUCUGCCCUGCACUUCGGGAUAAGCCUGGGAAACUGGGUCUAAUACCGGAUAGGAGCCAUUUUUAGUGUGAUGGUUGGAAAGUUUUUUCGGUGUAGGAUGAGCUCGCGGCCUAUCAGCUUGUUGGUGGGGUAAUGGCCUACCAAGGCGGCGACGGGUAGCCAGCCUGAGAGGGUGGACGGCCACAUUGGGACUGAGAUACGGCCCAGACUCCUACGGGAGGCAGCAGUGGGGAAUAUUGCACAAUGGGCGCAAGCCUGAUGCAGCGACGCCGCGUGGGGGAUGACGGCCUUCGGGUUGUAAACUCCUUUCGCUAGGGACGAAGCUUUUGUGACGGUACCUAGAUAAGAAGCACCGGCUAACUACGUG